CCGAGAGCCAUAAUUACGCUCAUCAUUGCCUAACUUCGAUAUUCUUACAUCGGAACGAUCCGAACUUAAAUAUCAUACUCAAAAGUCGUAAAUACAACCUCCUCAAAAUACGACUUAAAUCCAACGGCCGGAUUCUACAUUAAUUACCCGCCAAAAAUACCACACUUCGGAAAUUCACAAACCUAUCCAAAUCUCAUCCAAAAAUUCCAUAAAUCACACCAAUAAUAUCACCUUAAUAUUCUACAUCAAAAACCACAAAAUUUCCCAAAACAGCGGCGGCCGGCAGCCGUUUUCCGGCGACCUGCAAAUGCUACCAAAUUUUAACAGAAUCUUCCUCUCAAUCUCCUCUACAACUUUCAUGACCAACAUAUCACCCAAUUCCAAGCCUAACUAGGCUAAUCGAACGAAAAUAACUUAAAAGCCUAGAAAUUUCAACUCCACAUUUCUCCUUACCUAGCUCAAGAGGGAGGGAGCUGCUUGGAGGGGUUGUUGCACGGGAGGAGGGCUACAAAACCGUACCAAGCUUGCCCGGAUUGGUGGCCGGAGGAGGAAGUUCCGGCGAAGUGAAGGUUUGGACAGUCGGACCUUACGGGCGGCACCGCUCACUCACGGCGGCGCUAGGGGGGCUGCUACCGGCCUAGAAUGGAAGCUGGGAGGGAGACCGACCGAACGGAGGUCGGACGGCGGCGGGAGGACGGCCGGAAGUCUGCUGGGUGUAGAGAGAAGAAAAUCGGGUGGGAGGAGAGAGAAUCGGGAGAGAGGGAGAAGAGAAAGAAGAAAGAAAUGGGUUGGGCUCGGCCCAGCCGACCCAACACCCCUUUUUAACCCAAACUUCCAAAAUAAAAACACCCCGAAAAAUAAUACCCGAAUAAAAAUUACCUUUUACUAGCUAAAAUUUACUAUUUUUACCGUCGUCGUAUUUUCCUCAUACGAAUAAUCCUCCGCACAUAAUCGUCCCCGAAACCCCUCUAGGGACCAAUUAAACUAUUUACUCAAUGAUCGAGACGGUAAAAUUCUUAUUAUAAACACGCUAGUAAAUAAGGUAAAAAUAUAAGGGUCGGGAUGUGACAAUUCUCCCCUCCUUAUAAAAAUUUCGUCCUCGAAAUUAACAUAUAUGUCAUCCGAAGAGAUAGGGAUACUGCUGCAUCAUUUGCUCCUCUGAUUCCCAAGUAGCUUCUUCUACUUGAUGACU
rnacentral:lncRNA from 1 species